AGUGAACGCUGGCGGUAGGCCUAACACAUGCAAGUCGAACGAGUGGCGGACGGGCGUGGAAUACAUCUGAAUCUACUCUGUCGUGGGGUAUUACGUAGGGACACUUACGCUAAUACCGCAUCCGAUUGAUUGCGCCGUUGUCGGAUUAGCUAGUGGGCGGGGUAAAGGCCCACCAAGGCGACGAUCCGUAGCUGGUCUGAGAGGAUGAUCAGCCAAACUGGAACUGAGACACUGUCCAGACUCCUACGGGAGGCAGCAGUGGGGAAUAUUGGACAAUGGGCGCAAGCCUGAUCCAGCCAUACCGCGUGGGUGAAGAAGGCCUUAGGGUUGUAAAGCCCUUUUGUUGGGAAAGCGGUACCCAAAGAAUAAGCACCGGCUAACUUCGUGCCAGCAGCCGCGGUAAUAC
rnacentral:rRNA from 1 species